UACGUAGGAUGCGAGCGUUAUCCGGAUUUAUUGGGUUUAAAGGGUGCGUAGGCGGACGCUUAAGUCAGCGGUAAAAUUGCGGGGCUCAACCUCGUCGAGCCGUUGAAACUGGGUGCCUUGAGUGGGCGAGAAGUACGCGGAAUGCGUGGUGUAGCGGUGAAAUGCAUAGAUAUCACGCAGAACUCCGAUUGCGAAGGCAGCGUACCGGCGCCCUACUGACGCUGAAGCACGAAGGCGUGGGUAUCGAACAGG
rnacentral:rRNA from 1 species